rnacentral:rRNA from 1 species
UACGUAGGAGACAAACGUUAUCCGGAGUUACUGGGCGUAAAGGGCGUGUAGGUGGUUUUGUAAGUCUGGCGUGAAAUUUUUCGGCUUAACCGGGAAAGGUCGUCGGAUACUGCAAGGCUAGAGGACGGUAGAGGCGUGUGGAAUUCCGGGUGUAGUGGUGAAAUGCGCAGAUAUCAGGAGGAACACCGGUGGCGAAGGCGGGUCUCUGGGCAACAACUGACGCUGAGGAGCGAAAGCGUGGGGAGCGAACAGG